rnacentral:rRNA from 1 species
UACGUAGGGUGCGAGCGUUUAAUCGGAAUUACUGGGCGUAAAGCGUGCGCAGGCGGUUCGUUGUGUCGGCGGUGAAAGCCCCGGGCUCAACCUGGGAAUGGCCGUUGAAACUGGCGAACUGGAGUGUGGCAGAGGGGGGUGGAAUUCCGCGUGUAGCAGUGAAAUGCGUAGAGAUGCGGAGGAACACCGAUGGCGAAGGCAGGCCCUGGCUGGACAUCAUC